rnacentral:rRNA from 1 species
AUUGAACGCUGGCGGCAGGCCUAACACAUGCAAGUCGAGCGAGCGGCGGACGGGUGAGUAAUGUCUGGGAAUCUGCAAGAUAGAGGGGGAUAACUACGGGAAACGGUGGCUAAUACCGCCUACUAUCGGAUGAACCCAUAUGGGAUUAGCUAGUAGGUGGGGUAAAGGCUCACCUAGGCGACGAUCUCUAGCUUGUCUGAGAGGAUGAUCAGCCACACGUGAACUGAGACACUGCCCAGACUCCUCCGGGAGGCAGCAGUGGGGAAUAUUGCACAAUGGGCGCAAGCCUGAUGUAGCCAUGCCGCGUGUAUGAAGAAGGCCUUCGGGUUGUAAAGUACUUUCAGCGGGGAGGCGUUACCCGCAGAAGAAGCACCGGCUAACUCCGUGCCAGCAGCCGCGGUAAUAC